UACUCCAUUACCACCUAAAUGGUUUCUGCCU
rnacentral:piRNA from 1 species